rnacentral:rRNA from 1 species
UACGUAGGGGGCAAGCGUUGUCCGGAUUCAUUGGGCGUAAAGAGCGUGUAGGCGGCCUGGAAGGUCAGCUGUGAAAACUCGAGGCUCAACCUCGAGACGUCGGUUGAAACCACCUGGCUAGAGUCCGGAAGAGGAGUGUGGAAUUCCCGGUGUAGCGGUGAAAUGCGCAGAUAUCGGGAAGAACACCCGUGGCGAAGGCGGCACUCUGGGACGGUACUGACGCUGAGACGCGAAAACGUGGGGAGCGAACAGG